AUGCCGUGAUGAUGACACUCUCUCUACAAUUCUUUAAACCUCUCCCAUGCGUCAUAUAAUUAUUCCCCAUAAGUCUGGAAAAAGUUAUUGAUCUCUCCUCUCAACCU